rnacentral:rRNA from 1 species
CAGGCUUAACACAUGCAAGUCGAGGGGCAUCAGGAAGAAAGCUUGCUUUCUUUGCUGGCGACCGGCGCACGGGUGAGUAACACGUAUCCAACCUGCCCUUUACUCGGGGAUAGCCUUUCGAAAGAAAGAUUAAUACCCGAUGGCAUAAUGAUUCCGCAUGGUUUCAUUAUUAAAGGAUUCCGGUAAAGGAUGGGGAUGCGUUCCAUUAGGUUGUUGGUGAGGUAACGGCUCACCAAGCCUUCGAUGGAUAGGGGUUCUGAGAGGAAGGUCCCCCACAUUGGAACUGAGACACGGUCCAAACUCCUACGGGAGGCAGCAGUGAGGAAUAUUGGUCAAUGGGCGCUAGCCUGAACCAGCCAAGUAGCGUGAAGGAUGAAGGCUCUAUGGGUCGUAAACUUCUUUUAUAUAAGAAUAAAGUGCAGUAUGUAUACUGUUUUGUAUGUAUUAUAUGAAUAAGGAUCGGCUAACUCCGUGCCAGCAGCCGCGGCAAUACGGAGGAUCCGAGCGUUAUCCGGAUUUAUUGGGUUUAAAGGGAGCGUAGGUGGACUGGUAAGUCAGUUGUGAAAGUUUGCGGCUCAACCGUAAAAUUGCAGUUGAUACUGUCAGUCUUGAGUACAGUAGAGGUGGGCGGAAUUCGUGGUGUAGCGGUGAAAUGCUUAGAUAUCACGAAGAACUCCGAUUGCGAAGGCAGCUCACUGGACUGCAACUGACACUGAUGCUCGAAAGUGUGGGUAUCAAACAGGAUUAGAUACCCUGGUAGUCCACACAGUAAACGAUGAAUACUCGCUGUUUGCGAUAUACAGUAAGCGGCCAAGCGAAAGCAUUAAGUAUUCCACCUGGGGAGUAAGCCGGCAACGGUGAAACUCAAAGGAAUUGACGGGGGCCCGCACAAGCGGAGGAACAUGUGGUUUAAUUCGAUGAUACGCGAGGAACCUUACCCGGGCUUAAAUUGCAGUGGAAUGAUGUGGAAACAUGUCAGUGAGCAAUCACCGCUGUGAAGGUGCUGCAUGGUUGUCGUCAGCUCGUGCCGUGAGGUGUCGGCUUAAGUGCCAUAACGAGCGCAACCCUUAUCUUUAGUUACUAACAGGUUAUGCUGAGGACUCUAGAGAGACUGCCGUCGUAAGAUGUGAGGAAGGUGGGGAUGACGUCAAAUCAGCACGGCCCUUACGUCCGGGGCUACACACGUGUUACAAUGGGGGGUACAGAAGGCAGCUAGCGGGUGACCGUAUGCUAAUCCCAAAAGCCUCUCUCAGUUCGGAUCGAAGUCUGCAACCCGACUUCGUGAAGCUGGAUUCGCUAGUAAUCGCGCAUCAGCCACGGCGCGGUGAAUACGUUCCCGGGCCUUGUACACACCGCCCGUCAAGCCAUGGGAGCCGGGGGUACCUGAAGUACGUAACCGCAAGGAUCGUCCUAGGGUAAAACUGGUGA